GAUGAACGCUAGCGGCAGGCUUAAUACAUGCAAGUCGAGGGGCAGCGGGGUGUAGCAAUACAUCGCCGGCGACCGGCAAACGGGUGCGGAACACGUACACAACCUUCCUUUAAGCGGGGGAUAGCCCAGAGAAAUUUGGAUUAAUACCCCAUAGGAUGAUUGGAUGGCAUCAUUUGAUCAUUAAAGAUUUAUUACUUAAAGAUGGGUGUGCGUCUGAUUAGGUAGUUGGCGGGGUAACGGCCCACCAAGCCGACGAUCAGUAGCUGAUGUGAGAGCAUGAUCAGCCACACGGGCACGGAGACACGGGCCCGACUCCUACGGGAGGCAGCAGUAAGGAAUAUUGGACAAUGGACGCAAGUCUGAUCCAUCCAUGCCGCGUGAAGGAUUAAGGUCCUCUGGAUUGUAAACUUCUUUUAUAUGGGACGAAAAAAGAUCAUUCUUGAUCACUUGACGGUACCAUGUGAAUAAGCACCGGCUAACUCCGUGCCAGCCGCCGCCGUAACAC
rnacentral:rRNA from 1 species